AGGUUUCCUUUCUAAGUGACCCUUCAGUGCCUUGGUUUCCGAAUUUUUGUACAAGUUAUCUCACCACAAGGCCACACUGAUUGUUCACCAGAAAGCCUCGGUGUUAUAUUGAAGUUUCCAUCAUGCAUGUAUGAACAAGUUUUGUCGCGUUAUACUGUUUGUAUAAACUACUGUACUUCUCAGCUGCUUGAGAGAUACCCCUGAUGAAGUCUUUUGUAUAAGACGAAACGCGUUGGGUUGUCUGUGUUGUGAAGCUAUCUCCGAACAAACUAUAAGGAGAAGGAGGAGAUUGUUGUGAUCCUUCAACAUUUGUAUUCAGCGCUAAGAGUCAUACAUCUUAAAGUGUGGAAUAAUAUAUCUCCUCUGUAUUAAUUUGAAUAUGUUUUUAAUAAAUG